AAAUUCUGCCACAGAAGAUAGC
rnacentral:miRNA from 1 species